rnacentral:rRNA from 1 species
AGCUCCAAUAGCGUAUAUUAAAGUUGUUGCGGUUAAAAAGCUCGUAGUUGGAUUUCUGCUGAGGACGACCGGUCCGCCCUCUGGGUGAGUAUCUGGCUCGGCCUGGACAUAUUCUUGGAUAAUGUAGCUGCACUUGACUGUGUGGUGCGGUAUCCAGGACUUUUACUUAGAGGAAAUUAGAGAGUUUCAAGAAGGCACACGCCUUGAAUACAUUAGCAUGGAUAAUAAGACAGGACCUCGGUUCUAUUUGGUUGGUUCCUAGAGCUGAGGUAAUGAUUAAUAGGGAUAGUUUGGGGGCAUUCGUAUUUAACUGUCAGAGGUGAAAUUCUUGGAUUGGUUAAAGACGGACUACUGCGAAAGCAUUUGCAAAGGAUGUUUUCA